GUCGGGAUAGCUCAGCUGGUAGAGCAGAGGACUGAAUAC
rnacentral:tRNA from 27 species